rnacentral:rRNA from 1 species
GAUGAACGCUAGCUACAGGCUUAACACAUGCAAGUCGAGGGGCAGCAUGGAGGUUGCUUGCAACCUCCGAUGGCGACCGGCGCACGGGUGAGUAACGCGUAUCCAACCUUCCCCUUAGUAGGGCAUAGCCCGGCGAAAGUCGGAUUAAUACUCUAUGUUCUCCUUUGCAGGCAUCUAACGAGGAGCAAAGAUUCAUCGGUAAGGGAUGGGGAUGCGUCUGAUUAGCUUGCCGGCGGGGUAACGGCCCACCGGGGCAACGAUCAGUAGGGGUUCUGAGAGGAAGGUCCCCCACAUUGGUACUGAGACACGGACCAAACUCC